AUGGAAUAAAUCCAUCGGGUUUCACCCGAAUCAUCCACCUUACAACCUUGUCACAAACAUUUAUACAGGAUCGCUUUGCAUAGAGCUUCAGAUAUUACACACAGACGUUGAAUGUAGAUCAGGAAAACAAGACCAGAGUUAUUACAUAAUAAGCAUAACCCUAGUGCAAACUAGGUCUAUAGAGUUUCAAAACGGAUCCUACGGUUGUAGGGUUUGAUUGUUAAUCUGGCUCUAUUAUAACAAGAUUUUGAAAUAUUCUAAAGGUGUCUCGACUCCGCGUACCCUCUAGGUCUUGAGGUCUUGACUUCAGAGCUCC
rnacentral:lncRNA from 1 species